UACGUAAGUGGCGAGCGUUAUCCGGAAUCACUGGGCGUAAAGCGCACGUAGGCGGAUUGUUAAGUCAGGGGUGAAAUCCUGGAGCUCAACUCCAGAACUGCCUUUGAUACUGGCGAUCUUGAGUCCGGGAGAGGUGAGUGGAACUGCGAGUGUAGAGGUGAAAUUCGUAGAUAUUCGCAAGAACACCAGUGGCGAAGGCGGCUCACUGGCCCGGUACUGACGCUGAGGUGCGAAAGCGUGGGGAGCAAACAGG
rnacentral:rRNA from 1 species